AUGAAUUCCUCGGGCCGGCAGCCCCCCGUGAGAGAGGGGGACGAGGGCCCCGAUUCGCAAGGAUGGGGGCUGAGAGGUGCGCCGUGGCUCUGCCCGGAACAGCCGUCCACCCUCGAGCCUCUGCACCAGCCCCCGAGAAUGCUCACCUCACCGGCCGUCCUCCGCGUCCUCCCGCCCGCCUCCGCCCACCGCCCCCGGCACCCUCCCGCGCACGGGGUCCCGGGGGGCUCGCGGUGGUCCCCGGACCGGGAGCCCCUGCGGGCGGCUUUCCCGGCCUCAUCCUCCGCCGCCCCCGGCUGUGGCCCCCGCAGGCCCACCCCCACCGGCGGACGGGGUGCCCCUCGGCCCCAGCGCUCACUCCCUCCGCCGCGGCCGGACUCACUCACCUCCAGCCCGGCCGGGAUCCGGGCCGAGCGCCGCUUCCGGAGGCGGCGGCGGCUGCGGGGCCUGCGCGCGAGUGUGAGUGUGAGUGAGUGUGAGCGCGGGCGCGGGUGCGGGUGUGCGCGGCGUGGCCCGCGUGUGCGUGUGUGUGUGUCUGCGAGCCCGCGUGUGCGCGCAGACGCCCCCCGCCCCCGCCCGCCCGGCCCGGGCCGCCGCCGCCGGGGUGGGAGCGCAGCGUGCGUCAGGGGCCGCGGCCCGCGGUCUGUCCGUCCGUCCGUCCGCAGGCGCGUCCGCAGCGAGACCCCGCCCGCCCCCUCCCCCGGCCCGAUCCUUCCACAGACACGCGCGCACGCAGACACGCGGCCGCGGGGCGGGGGCCCGCCCGGCUCCAACGCCGCAGCUGCAGCGCCCGGGGAGGCGGCGGCGGCGGCCGCGGGGAGCGCCGAGCCCCGGCCCCGCCCGGCCCCCCGCCCCGCUCACCCCGCGGGCUCCGGGUCCCGCCGCCGCCGUCGCCGUCGCCGUCGCCGUCGCGGGCGCAUUCAACAGCUGGAGGCAAACUUGCCGCGGGGCGAGCCGCCCGGCGCGCAGCGCCCCCCAGCGCCCGCCCGGGGACGCCCGCGGCCCCCCGACUCCCCCUGGGCGGCUGGACCCCUCCUCACCUCGUCCCGGCGCCCCGCCGAGCUCCGCGCUCCACCGCGGGCAACCCGCCAAGUGCGGCCGCUGCGUUCCCAUUUGACGGGCGAGCCAGCUGAGGCUCCCGAGGGGAAUGACUCGCCCAAGGUCACGCAGAGACCGCCUUAG
rnacentral:lncRNA from 1 species